UUUUAAGCUAAGUACAACUUAUAAGCAUAUUGAUUUAAAUUAGAAUUCGUUUAUUAUAUUGAAACUAAUAAUAUAUAAUUACAUAAAUCAUGAUAAAAGUUGUAAAUCACUCCAUUAACUAAAUAUAGUGCCAGCAGUUGCGGUUAAACUAUAAAUGAAUUUAUGCAAUUAUUUUUCUUUAAAUAAUAUUUUUAAAUAAAAAUUAAUAUUAAGUAAAAUUUUAUUAAUUUAUAAAAAAAUUUUUUUAUAGAAAAAAUUAAAAAUUUAAAACAGGAUUAGAUGCCCUAUUAUAUUUUAUUAAUUUUUGGAAGUAAUUAAUUAUUAUAAAACCAAUGUAGUUUGGCGGCAUUUAUUUAUAUUAGAGGAACCUGUCUUUUAAUCGAUUCUCCACGAUAUUUUUCACUUUUAUUUAUAUUUUAUAUACCUCCAUCCCAAGGAUUAAUAUAUAUAUAUUCUUCUCUAAAUAGAUUUCCUAAAAAGUUAGGUAAAGGUGUAAACUAUAUGAAAGAUAAGAUGGGUUACUUUAAACACUAUUUAAGAAUAUUUAAUUAAAAUUAUUUUUGAAAAAGGAUUUAUUAGUAAUUAUUUUAAUAAUAUUUUUAAAUGAACCUAAUAAAAAAUGUGCACAUAUCGCCCGUCACCCUUAUCAAAAGAUAAGGUAAGUCGUAACAUAGUUGGUGUUUUGGAAAAAGCAUCAAG
rnacentral:ncRNA from 1 species